rnacentral:rRNA from 1 species
GACGAACGCUGGCGGCGUGCUUAACACAUGCAAGUCGAACGGAAAGGCCUUUUCGGAGGUACUCGAGUGGCGAACGGGUGAGUAACACGUGGGUGAUCUGCCCUGCACUCUGGGAUAAGCCUGGGAAACUGGGUCUAAUACCGGAUAGGACCGCACUUUAGUGUGUGUGGUGGAAAGUUUUUUCGGUGUAGGAUGAGCCCGCGGCCUAUCAGCUUGUUGGUGGGGUAAUGGCCUACCAAGGCGGCGACGGGUAGCCGGACUGAGAGGUUGGUCGGCCACAUUGGGACUGAGAUACGGCCCAGACUCCUACGGGAGGCAGCAGUGGGGAAUAUUGCACAAUGGGCGCAAGCCUGAUGCAGCGACGCCGCGUGGGGGAUGACGGCCUUCGGGUUGUAAACUCCUUUCGCCAGGGACGAAGCGUUUUGUGACGGUACCUGGAGAAGAAGCACCGGCUAACUACCUG